rnacentral:rRNA from 1 species
AUGGCGGGGAUUGGCCACGCGCCGACCAUCCCAUGGCCCUCCCUGAGGGAUAAGAUCGCCUCCCCACAACCCCGCGCCUGCAUCGACGCCGACGACCCCUUCUUCAACCUGGGACCUCCAUCGUCGCUGCCGUCGAAUUCCGGCCACACAGAGCCUCCCACGAGCACGCGGUGCGCACCUGCAGGCCCGUUGUGA